GAUGAAGAACGCAGCGAAAUGCGAUAAGUAAUGUGAAUUGCAGAAUUCAGUGAAUCAUCGAAUCUUUGAACGCACAUUGCGCCCGCCAGUAUUCUGGCGGGCAUGCCUGUUCGAGCGUCAUUACAACCCUCAGGCCCCCGGGCCUGGCGUUGGGGAUCGGCGGAGCCCCCCGUGGGCACAUGCCGUCCCCCAAAUGCAGUGGCGGUCCCGCCGCAGCUUCCAUCGCGUAGUAGCUAACACCUCGCGACUGGAGAGCGGCGCGGCCACGCCGUAAAACACCCAACUCUUCUGAAGUUGACCUCGAAUCAGGUAGGAAUACCCGCUGAACUUAAGCAUAUCAAUAGCGGAGGA
rnacentral:misc_RNA from 1 species